rnacentral:rRNA from 1 species
AUUGAACGCUGGCGGCAGGCUUAACACAUGCAAGUCGAGCGGGGUGAUGGUGCUUGCACUAUCACUUAGCGGCGGACGGGUGAGUAAUGCUUAGGAAUCUGCCUAUUAGUGGGGACAACAUCUCGAAAGGGAUGCUAAUACCGCAUACGUCCUACGGGAGAAAGCAGGGGAUCACUUGUGACCUUGCGCUAAUAGAUGAGCCUAAGUCGGAUUAGCUAGUUGGUGGGGUAAAGGCCGACCAAGGCGACGAUCUGUAGCGGGUCUGAGAGGAUGAUCCGCCACACUGGGACUGAGACACGGCCCAGACUCCUACGGGAGGCAGCAGUGGGGAAUAUUGGACAAUGGGGGGAACCCUGAUCCAGCCAUGCCGCGUGUGAAGAAGGCCUUAUGGUUGUAAAGCACUUUAAGCGAGGAGGAGGCUCUUUUGGUUAAUACCCAAGAUGAGUGGACGUUACUCGCAGAAUAAGCACCGGCUAACUCUGUGCCAGCAGCCGCAGUAA